rnacentral:lncRNA from 10 species
GGCGGGUCCCUGGCUCGGCUCUACCCCCAUGGAUCUAGGUGGGCUCAAUGUCAUCACAAGGGUGCUUAAGAGGGAAAGAGGAAGCCAUGAGGGUCAGAGUCAAAGGAAGACUUGAAGAUACUACACUGCGGACUUUAAAGAUGAAGGAAGGGGCGAAAACCAAGAAUGUGGGAAGCCUCUAGAAGCUAGAGAAGGCAAGGAAACAAAUUUUCCACUAGAGCCUCCAGAAGGAACACAGCCCUGCUGACCCACUGUAAUGUCUGACCUCUAGAUGUGUAAGGGUAGUAAGACUGAAAGUCUCAGAAAGGCACUGUUAAAUUCUUAUUCCUCAACUAUGCAACUCAAAACUGGGGUCCUCAGCAGUGAGCGAGGGGUGAGAGAAGACACUGUAUAAACAUGGCACAUCCUCCUGGAAAGUCAACUUUACUCAAAGGUUCUUACACACAGUGACAGCUAGCAGAGUCUAAAAUGCUGACAUUAUGACUUAGAGAUGUGAUAAAGAGAAACAUCUAUUGCAUUUUCUUGGCUCGUGUGGAAUGACUUAUCCUGGAAUUUAGAGUUGAAGAUAAUCCUGAUGCUUCAAAGAGAAGAGUUGGAACACAGUCCUUUUUUCUAAACAGAGGAAUUGUUGAAUAUGCGACUGAACCUCUGACUUAACUAAUUAGUUAAUUUGGAGCAGAGUUUGAACACAGUCCUUUUUCUAAACAGAGGAAUUGUUGAAUAUGCAACUGGUCCUCUGACUUAACUAAUUAUUUAAUUUGGAAGUUAUAGGUUUUUUAUUACUUGAGGAGCAGCUUUCUCUGAACAAAUACAGUGUCCCCUGGGGUGUCCAAAUUGUGACAGAAAAGUAGCGCCAGCUUGAAACUAGCUAGUCAUCACAUAGUGGCAUCAUGUGAAUGAAGAAUCCCCCAAAUCUGUGACCCUCUUCUAUCCUUAUGAACUAAUUCAAUAAAUAAAUGAGCACUUUCUCAGUUCCCAAACUGAGAGCAGUUUAAAAAAAUAAUGAGAGCACAGAUAUCUAUUUAGAGAGAUGGCGAGAUAGAGGAGAGAGCAAGUUGCACACCACGAAACAAAGGGAAAGAUAAGAAGAGAGAGUGUGUCACUACUUCCCCGUGGCAGAAUCACAAUCUUUUUUGGAUGUCAUGUUGAAAAGAUUCCCAAUUCGUAGUUCUGUGAGCUAAAGCAGAUGGAUGCUCCAUGUUGGUACAAAUUCCUAUUUGAAGCAGUGUGGUUGCAAAGAUGGGGUUUGGGUCAUUUGAUUUUCUCCGAAAAACAAUCUUGUGUAACUGUUAAAAGAAUUUAUAAUACCCAAUGCAAUGUAUCAUCCGUGAUGCUUCUUCAAAAAUGUUAAAUAAAUGCUGAAACCAGUGUUUCAAA